UGCGUUGUGCCAGAGCAAUUGGGUUACUUUGAUGUGGUAAAAUAUGGGGAAUAUUUCUCUCAACGCAA
rnacentral:tRNA from 1 species